GACGAACGCUGGCGGCGUGCCUAAUACAUGCAAGUUGAGCGCUGAAGGUUGGUACUUGUACCAACUGGAUGAGCAGCGAACGGGUGAGUAACGCGUGGGGAAUCUGCCUUUGAGCGGGGGACAACAUUUGGAAACGAAUGCUAAUACCGCAUAAAAACUUUAAACACAAGUUUUAAGUUUGAAAGAUGCAAUUGCAUCACUCAAAGAUGAUCCCGCGUUGUAUUAGCUAGUUGGUGAGGUAAAGGCUCACCAAGGCGAUGAUACAUAGCCGACCUGAGAGGGUGAUCGGCCACAUUGGGACUGAGACACGGCCCAAACUCCUACGGGAGGCAGCAGUAGGGAAUCUUCGGCAAUGGACGAAAGUCUGACCGAGCAACGCCGCGUGAGUGAAGAAGGUUUUCGGAUCGUAAAACUCUGUUGGUAGAGAAGAACGUUGGUGGGAGUGGAAAGCUCAUCAAGUGACGGUAACUACCCAGAAAGGGACGGCUAACUACGUG
rnacentral:rRNA from 1 species